GCUCUCAUAGCUUAGUGACUAAAGCAUCUGUUUUACAAGCAGAGGAUCGGUGGUUUGAGUCCAUCUGGGAGUACCA
rnacentral:tRNA from 1 species